AUGAAUAUGUUAACUAAAUGCUAAGGAAUACAAUUAUAGUGUGUCAAAGAAAAUUAUUUUUAUGACUUAAAUCUUAAAAA